AAAAACUAAAGGCAAUUGCUUUGUGUAAGCGCGGUGCAAACACCGGCUGAUGUGGCAAAAAAUCGAAAUGCCCCAUUUAGUGAUCCCUCCUUCCAUUUCCCUCCCUCUCUUUCUUUGCCCUCGAGCUCUUAGCUCUCUGAAGACGAAACGAAAAGAGAAAAUACAGAACCAAUGGAGUUCUUGCCUCUUUGAAGACCAUCAUGGAAGAUUUCAAGAAGAAGGUCUCUACUACAGAACCAAUGGAGGCUGAAAAUACCGUAGGUUGCUCUGAUUCUUCCAAAAUCCUCCAUCUGCUUUGUAGGUUCCUUGCAAUACAGUAGUGCAGAACUGAAGCCUACAUCAACGCUAAAAAAACUCAAAACCUGGGACCAAGUCAACUGGAAGCCAGAUCCCAAAAAAAAGUAACCAAAUACAACCUCCAAUUGACAUAUGUGCUAGAAUAUUGUCUGUUGAUGAAGAAGGAAAGUCUAUGUCACUGGCUCCUGAAAAGAGUAUUCAGUUUGCGAGAAAAGCUCCUUGUCAAGAUUUUCCAAAAUUAGCUAAGCCACCAAGGGAAGAUUUAAGAAUGGAAGCAAAAAAUACAAAUCAAGUUGGCAACUGAAAACCUAGAUGAGCAGGAAGACAAAGAUUCAGAGGAACAUGAGCUCUGUUUCAGUGUUUUUGUUUGGAGUUUUUCUUUCUCAUUUUGGUUUCGAGCAGGCGUGGUCUUUUGUCUUUUUUUUUUUUUAUAUAUAUAU